UACGUAGGGGGCGAGCGUUGUCCGGAUUUAUUGGGCGUAAAGAGCGUGUAGGCGGCCGCACAGGUCCGUUGUGAAAACUGGAGGCUUAACCUUCAGACGUCGAUGGAAACCGUGCGGCUAGAGUCCGGAAGAGGAGAAUGGAAUUCCUGGUGUAGCGGUGAAAUGCGCAGAUAUCAGGAAGAACACCCGUGGCUAAGGCGGUUCUCUAGUACGGUACUGACGCUGAGACGCGAAAGCGUGGGGGGCGAACAGG
rnacentral:rRNA from 1 species